UACGUAGGGGGCAAGCGUUGUCCGGAUUUAUUGGGCGUAAAGGGCGUGUAGGCGGCCAUACAGGUCCGUUGUGAAAACUGGAGGCUUAACCUCCAGACGUCGAUGGAAACCGUAUGGCUAGAGUCCGGAAGAGGAGAGUGGAAUUCCUGGUGUAGCGGUGAAAUGCGCAGAUAUCAGGAAGAACACCCGUGGCGAAGGCGGCUCUCUGGGACGGUACUGACGCUGAGACGCGAAAGCGUGGGGAGCGAACAGG
rnacentral:rRNA from 1 species